CCUCCUUUCUAAAGGAAAAAAAACUUUAAACUAAGUGUACGUUUAAAGUAACCACCGUCUAUUUAUUUUGCUUUUUUCAACUAUGUUGAUAAAGGGCAUUGAUUGGGCGUGUAACUCAGUUGGUUAGAGCGCGCGCUUGAUAAGCGUGAGGUCGGAGGUUCAAGUCCUCCCUCGCCCACCAACACUGUUGGGGGAUUAGCUCAGCUGGGAGAGCGCCUGAUUUGCAUUCAGGAGGUCAGCGGUUCGAUCCCGCUAUCCUCCACCAACAAUCUUUAUAAUCGUAAAUAUGUAAGCUGAUAACACAAACGAAUAACUUUGCACGAGUUAUUCGUUUAAUUAAACAACUAAUAUAACAACAAAUAACUACAAAAAGUUAUUAACAACAAAACUUUUCACUGUGUGUUAAUAAUUCAAGCGCGUAAGAGCAUCUGGUGGAUGCCUUGGCACAAAGAGGCGA
rnacentral:tRNA from 1 species